rnacentral:rRNA from 1 species
CCUACGGAGGCAGCAGUAGGGAAUUUUCCGCAAUGGGCGAAAGCCUGACGGAGCAAUACCGCGUGAGGGAUGACUGCCUAUGGGUUGUAAACCUCUUUUUUCAGGGAGGAAUAAAUGACGUGUACCUGAAGAAUAAGCAUCGGCUAACUCCGUGCCAGCAGCCGCGGUAAGACGGAGGAUGCAAGUGUUAUCCGGAAUCACUGGGCGUAAAGCGUCUGUAGGUGGCUCAACAAGUCAACUGUUAAAUCUUGAAGCUCAACUUCAAAAUCGCAGUCGAAACUAUUGAACUAGAGUAUAGUAGAGGUAAAGGGAAUUUCCAGUGGAGCGGUGAAAUGCGUAGAGAUUGGAAAGAACACCAAUGGCGAAGGCACUUUACUGGGCUAUUACUGACACUCAGAGACGAAAGCUAGGGUAGCAAAUGGGAUUAGAUACCCCAGUAGUCCUAGCCGUAAACAAUGGAUACUAGGUGUUGAACAGAUCGACCUGUGCAGUACUAAGACUACGUACGUAAGUAUACCGCCGUCGGUAGUAGUGCGACGCGAGAGUGAACGUAACGUAAAGAAGUUAGUUACGGUCGUUGAGACGUUGCCGACGGACGACGACGAGGGAGGAGG